AGGAUUAUUCCCAGGAAGAGCUGAGCAGUGUUCCUCUUGUGGACAAAUUUCAUUUUGACAAAGUCACUGUUUCUUUUCAAAGGAGAGAGAGCUGAGAUGGAGUAAGGUCACAUGAGUUGGCACUCUUGACUUGACUGGAAGAAGUGAAGGCAAAACAAAAGGCAAAAGGAUCACCAGGAAGAGGCAGAAAAGUUUCAUGGAUCCUAAGAGAGAGGUGAAAAUACAAGACUGUCACUUUAAAUCUUUGGCAGUAGACCAACUGAAAGUAACUGGUGCUAUAAUUUGAAGGGCUAGCAGUAAAUAGCUCUUAGAAAAAUUGAAAUUUAUACUUUACCAUUAGUGAUUAUAAAUCCAGAUUUGAUUUGGUCCUGAAACUAAAUCAUCCUGUGGUCUCAUUUGUAGUGAAAUCUGUUCCCCUAUCAGGAUAAUUGUGGUAAAUCAGAACUUAAUGUAAAAAUGCAUUUAUUAUUUGGCAUUAAGGAAGAAGAAAAAAAAUGCUAGAAAAUGCAUGAAUCAGGAAAACCUGAGUCAAAAAAAUCCAGUCUCAGCAAGUAAUUCAGUCUCAGAAAUGUAUUGACUAUGUGACUUCACUUCUGUUUACCUCAGUUUCCCCAUCUAUAAAGGGGGAAAUGAAAUAAUAGUACCCACCUCUCAGGGUUGU